rnacentral:rRNA from 1 species
GACAGAGGUGCCAAGCGUUAGGCGGAAUCACUGGGCUUAAAGCGUGUGUAGGCGGGCGCCUAAGUAUCUUGUGAAAUCCCCCGGCUCAACCGGGGAACGGCUGGGUAUACUGGGUGCCUUGGGUCAUCUAGGGGCUGCCGGAACAAAUGGUGGAGCGGUGAAAUGCGUAGAUAUCAUUUGGAACGCCAACGGCGAAAGCAGGCAGCUGGGGAUGCACCGACGCUGAGACACGAAAGCCAGGGGAGCGAACGGG